CUGAUCCAAUAAUAGAGAGUCGCAAUAACCUGCGCUGGAGACCUCCACCAAUUCUCCCAUUCUUCAUCUCCUAUGACUGUCCCUCAUACCACUAGUUUAUUUAGCAGUUGCUAUGCUCCAACUCGGCGAUGAGCGUUUUACGCCACCAUCUCUACAGCCAUAGAUCUUCGCUAUCUUUUGCGACCAUUGCAACCACUUUUUUAACCUUUCUUUUGCUUUCUUCAGCUCUUGGCUUACACCCUACUCGUAAUCUCAGGUUGAUUGAACGAGUUCUCCUUAUUACACAGCAAAAACUGAGUACUGGACCAGGUUCGUCGCCACCCACGUCUAGAUCCAAGUGCGGACGGUGUUCACCAUGUAAACCGGUUCGAGUGUCCGUUCAACCUGGUUUUACUACUUUAGAGUACUAUCCUGAAGCUUGGAGGUGCAAGUGUCGCAACAAACUCUUCAUGCCUUAGACUGUACUACUCAUGUUUCUUUCUUUCUUGAUUCUCUACUUGCUAAUUACUAAGCAUUAGUUUCUUCUUCUCUUCUCCAUCACACUGUGUAUAAAUCAGAAAAGAUUGAUCCAACAAUACCUAUUAUUGUCA